rnacentral:rRNA from 1 species
AGAGUUUGAUCAUGGCUCAGGACGAACGCUGGCGGCGUGCUUAACACAUGCAAGUCGAACGAUGAACCGCUUUCGGGCGGGGAUUAGUGGCGAACGGGUGAGUAACACGUGGGCAAUCUGCCCUGCACUCUGGGACAAGCCCUGGAAACGGGGUCUAAUACCGGAUAUGACCGUCUGCCGCAUGGUGGAUGGUGUAAAGCUCCGGCGGUGCAGGAUGAGCCCGCGGCCUAUCAGCUUGUUGGUGAGGUAGUGGCUCACCAAGGCGACGACGGGUAGCCGGCCUGAGAGGGCGACCGGCCACACUGGGACUGAGACACGGCCCAGACUCCUACGGGAGGCAGCAGUGGGGAAUAUUGCACAAUGGGCGAAAGCCUGAUGCAGCGACGCCGCGUGAGGGAUGACGGCCUUCGGGUUGUAAACCUCUUUCAGCAGGGAAGAAGCGAAAGUGACGGUACCUGCAGAAGAAGCGCCGGCUAACUACGUGCCAGCCGCCGCGGUAAUAC